rnacentral:rRNA from 1 species
AAUGAACGCUGGCGGCAUGCCUUACACAUGCAAGUCGAACGGCAGCAUGACCUAGCUUGCUAGGUUGAUGGCGAGUGGCGAACGGGGGAGUAAUGCAUCGGAACGUGCCUUUUAGUGGGGGAUAACGUAGCGAAAGUUACGCUAAUACCGCAUAUUCUCUGAGGAGGAAAGCAGGGGACCUUCGGGCCUUGCGCUAGAAGAGCGGCCGAUGUCGGAUUAGCUAGUUGGUGAGGUAAAGGCUCACCAAGGCAACGAUCCGUAGCGGGUCUGAGAGGAUGAUCCGCCACACUGGGAAUGAGACACGGCCCAGACUCCUAAGGGAGGCAGCAGUGGGGAAUUUUGGACAAUGGGCGCAAGCCUGAUCCAGCCAUGCCGCGUGAGUGAAGAAGGCCUUCGGGUUGUAAAGCUCUUUCGGCUGGGAAGAAAUCGCACCCUCUAAUACAGGGUGUGGAUGACGGUACCAGCAUAAGAAGCACCGGCUAACUACGUG